ensembl:lncRNA novel transcript
AGACAGCUUCCGCUGACAAGCCAGCCUAGGGCCACCCUGCUUCGGAAGCGUGUGGGCCCUCCAGGCUUCCAUCUGCGGACUGCACAUCACAGGGAGGGAGUGUUCCGCACCAGGCAGGGCACCAUGGAAACACCGUGGGAAGGCUGGAGAACUCUGCUUCUGGACGUGUUCAUUCAGGCCCAUCCUUGUCUCCACCUCACUUACUCUCUUCACUUCUGGCAGGGCUGAAUGCCCUCAUUUUACCCAACACCAGGAAUCUCCAAGGAACCCCAGAAAGUUGCAGGACCCUGGACUCCUUUCUUGUAGCUAGGGGUCAGGUCAGGCACAUGCACAUCAGCUGCCGGGGAGGAAGUGGGGUGCAGGGAUGCAGACCGGGCUGCAAAAUAGCCUCUCAACAUCCCAGCCUCUCUGCAGGAGAGAUGCUGCCCGUGGCCACUCCAGAGUUGGUGGACCUCAUUCAUGUCUCCAGGAGAGAUAAACGACUUUAACAAAACCCAGCAAUAUUAGCAAAGCCUGUGGCCAGAACAUUUCAGUGAGUAAUUUUAAUGCCCAGGUGUGUAGCAUGGCACAGAAAAACAUCUUUGAGGAUGGAUUAACAACACAUUUUGCCAUCCCCUGAGAGAUUUUACCCUGAACGCACACAUCUCUAAGAGAUGGUGUGGUCCCUAUCAUUAGAUUGUUAUGAAGAAUGCUUUAGGAAGUCUCUCCCAGGUGCCAAGGCUCCUCUGGGAAAAGGUUCAAAGGGUGGUGGGCCAGUCCUCUGGGCACAUGCAUUCCUGGUGCAGACCACCAGAAUUGUGCCAGUAGUAGCUAAGGGUGUUAGCAAGUCCUGGUGCAUGCCACGGUGCAGGCCCAGGCAGCCAGCCUGUGCUCUUCAUUCUGGGACAGUGCUGUCCUGGACUGUCCUUUAUGACCACCCCCAGCCUUGGUUCUGCAGUGGGGCAUGGUUGUGUGCUGGUGGCAACAAGGACACGCCCUGACCCUCUGCUCCCUCUCUUGUUCUCCUUUUGUUUUAACAUUUUCCUCAGAUUAUAGAAUUACCACAUGCCAACUAUUAUGAGCUGAAUUGGGCCUUCCCACCCACAAAUCCAUGUGUUAAAGCCCUAACCCCUAGCACCUCAGAAUGUGACUGUAUUUGGAGAUAGGAUCUUUAAAGAAGUAAAUAAGUUAAAUGAGAUCAUUAGGGUGGGCUCUCAUCAAAUUUGACUGAUGUCCUUCUAAGAAGAUGGGGACACAGACACACACAGGGGGAAGACCACGUGAAGACACAGGGCAUCUGCAAGCCAAGGAGAGAGAGAGGCCUCAGGACUCUGCCAGCACCUUGAGCUCAGUCUUCCAGCCUCCACAACUAAUAUGGCUGUACGGCAAUGCUGAGACAUCACGCUGAGCGAGAGUGGACAUCCUCAUUUUAUUCCUACCCUUACCGUGGAUCUCUCCUGUGCUUCACCACUCAGUAUAAUGCUGGCUGAGCUCUUCUGACAAAUACCUUCCAAGAUGUGAGGAAAACACACGUAGGUGCAGUUGUUGAAUUGUAUGAUCUGCCACUGAAGUAAUUAGUGUGAUAAUUACUUGGAUUUUCUCCUUUAACAAAUUAUUGUUAUAAAUUAUAUUAAUAUAUGUCAUGCUAAUAAAUUAUUUCCAUAUUCCUAGGAAUAAAGCUGGGUAGUUUGUGGUAUAUUAUUCUUUGAAUUUAUUCCUGGAUUUAACGUAAAAAUAUUUUAUAG